rnacentral:lncRNA from 1 species
GGCAUAACUUGGCAUUUGCUCCAAUGCCUCAACCAAUGGGAUCGCCAUUUCAAGUUUGUUCAGCACCUUCAUGAACUUCCUAAACUCUUUCUCACGCUCUAGGUUCUUCACUCUCUUCUUUCUAGGGUAGGGCACCCUAGCAUACGGUGAUUCAUCCACACCCUUACCUUUUUCAGUCUUCUUUUUCUCCUUUUCUCUCAUCUCCCUCUGUUUUUUAACUUCUCCUUCUUCAU